GAUGAACGCUGGCGGCGUGCCUAAUACAUGCAAGUCGAGCGAAUGGAUUAAGAGCUUGCUCUUAUGAAGUUAGCGGCGGACGGGUGAGUAACACGUGGGUAACCUGCCCAUAAGACUGGGAUAACUCCGGGAAACCGGGGCUAAUACCGGAUAACAUUUUGAACCGCAUGGUUCGAAAUUGAAAGGCGGCUACGGCUGUCACUUAUGGAUGGACCCGCGUCGCAUUAGCUAGUUGGUGAGGUAACGGCUCACCAAGGCAACGAUGCGUAGCCGACCAGAGAGGGUGAUCGGCCACACUGGGACUGAGACACGGCCCAGACUCCUACGGGAGGCAGCAGUAGGGAAUCUUCCGCAAUGGACGAAAGUCUGACGGAGCAACGCCGCGUGAGUGAUGAAGGCUUUCGGGUCGUAAAACUCUGUUGUUAGGGAAGAACAAGUGCUAGUUGAAUAAGCUGGCACCUUGACGGUACCUAACCAGAAAGCCACGGCUAACUACGUGCCAGCCGCCGCGGUAA
rnacentral:rRNA from 1 species